rnacentral:rRNA from 1 species
UACGUAGGGGGCAAGCGUUGUCCGGAUUUAUUGGGCGUAAAGAGCUCGUAGGCGGUUUGGUAAGUCUGGUGUGAAAUCUCCACGCUCAACGUGGAGGGGCCACCCGAUACUGCCAUGACUGGAGUCCGGUAGAGGAGUGUGGAAUUCCCGGUGUAGCGGUGAAAUGCGCAGAGAUGUGGAGGAACACCAGUGGCGAAGGCGACUCUUUGGUCUGCAUACUACGCUCAGGCACGAAAGCGUGGGGAGCAAACAGG